GGGGUUAUAGCUCAGUGGUAGAGCGCGUGCUUUGCAAGCACGAGGCCCCGGGUUCGAUACCCGGUAACUCCA